rnacentral:misc_RNA from 1 species
GAGUACGCUCGCGCAUGUAGGGCACCCGUGGAUCAGAGUUGGCACUGCGCAUACACAGCGGCCCCUCUCUUCCUCCCUAGUCACGUUUCCUUGCAUAGAAACAUACGCGCCUGCUGCUCAUCAGCGCUUGCUCUUACCGCGCACAGAGGAGAGAAGCGCAAGCGAAGAAGGAGGUGCUCCUGCAUAUUUCAUCUUAGUCACCCCCCCCCGCCGACCCUGGACACUUUCAUGCGAGCAAGGCGUACAGCGAAGCUGCUCGUUCACGAAGAGGAACAUCGACUCCUGAUCCGCUUCGCCACCGCUCUGGAGAUGAUAAUCGACGACGGCGGCGUGGAACAGCAGCGGCAGCAGCAACCAUAUCACCAGGGCAAGUAGCAAGCCUUCUUUCACGGCCACCAUGGUUGCAUCCUUUCGGUGUGAUGCGGCGGCUAGCAUGUAGUGCUGCGAGCUUGCGGCGUCUCCGCCCUCCGGCAUGAAGGCCGCGCUGAACCGUCCCUCUGCAGUACAGUACGGGGCUGCGUUGCCGUGCCGCCUUCAUCUGGAGAUCAUGAUGACGAUGCACGGCCUCUGCAAGGCCGCCCUGGCCUACGCUGGUGUGGGCCGUGCCAUCCUCAGGAUCUAAUUUCUUCUGUACUUCGCUCGGAGAGGCCUCGAUGACGGUGGUUGCGUUUUCUGCCUUGUGGUGUGUGUGUGUGUGUGCGUGUGUGUCUGUGUCUGUGUCUGUGUCUGUGUGGCGACGCGUGCUCACAACACCAUCGUGAAGCCCUGGAGUGCGCGGGAGCUGCCACCUGAGCCCCUUGCCGCGGGCGCGUCAGCCACGUGCCCUCGCAGGCUGUCCGGCAUGGCCGUCAGGGGGUGGGGACACCGUAGCGUCGGCACGCAAGCAGCUUCGCGAGCUCACCGACCGUAAUAACACCGUGUUCCUGUUGUUCAGACCGGCACGGCGCUGAAGAGGCGCUACACCGACUGCCGCUGGUGGCGCGGCGUGGUUCGAAAUGGAAGAGACAGGCCAGGAGCCGAAGUGCAACGCCCAGCGCGAAGAGGGUGACGAACGCGGUGCCGGACCUUGCAGCGCCACCGUCAGCAGUUCCGCGCCGUCUCGCGCGAACGCCACGCGCGAGUAUCGCCUUUACGCACGUGAGCCCAGGACCAGCGUCCUUGACGCACGCGCAGGCGGAGCGCGGGGUGCAGCCGAACAGAAAGAGCGCUCGCGACUGUUGCAGGUGACGGCGUGUAUUGCUCAGCAUCGAGGCCUGCGUGCUCUUCAGUUUGGUGAUGCGUCAGCAUUCUCUCCAGCUUCGCGAGGACAGCAGCGCUGGGCGUGUGUAACCGCACUAUUGCAGCACCCGCUGCACCUAUUUCAAGUGAAGACACCCAAUGUUGAGCUGGAAGCGUUGCCAACGUGUGCGUGUGUCUGAAGUCUACGUCGUCGUCGACACCGUCUGGGCGCUUUCUGACGUGUAUGCGUGUGUACAUGGACGACUGGAGUCGUUUUGCUUUCUCUGCACCAUCAUCAUCAUCCGAUUGGUUGAGAUAACGCUGUUGAGGCAUC